AGAAUCAACGCUGGCGGCGUGCCUAACACAUGCAAGUCGAACGAGAAAGUGGAGCAAUCCAUGAGUAAAGUGGCGCACGGGUGAGUAACACGUGACUAACCUACCCUUGAGUAGGGAAUAACCUAGGGAAACCUGGGCUAAUACCGCAUAACACCUACGGGUCAAAGGAGCAAUUCGCUUAAGGAGGGGGUCGCGGCAGAUUAGCUAGUUGGCGGGGUAAUGGCCCACCAAGGCAGUGAUCUGUA
rnacentral:rRNA from 1 species